rnacentral:lncRNA from 1 species
GCUAAGAAGUGGCACAUUAAUGAAGCGCCGCUACAGGGGUCUUUUCUGCUCCUGUCACCGCUUAAAACUAUCAGAUGGUUCGAGGGUGGACAUGGAGGCAGCCACCUAGCUCAGCGGAACCACGAACGCCACAGCAGCGUCUUCUGGAUCCCCGAGGCGGCGUCUGCCACUGUCCCCACCCGCACUCCACAGCUGAGUUCGGCCUCCCAGCAGGACGCAGGACCCAGGAGCGCCGCGGAGCCCGCGGAGAGGAGCUCUACCGGGCUGAGUCCAAGCCGGGCUGGCAGCGAGUCUCACUGGUCCCCGACUCUGCGCUCCUAUCGCGCGCAGGGAGGGACUCGGCCACCAGCCACGCCAUCCCGGAUGCGGACCAGUAACUUGGAACAACUUUAAG